AGAUCAGCCCUGGGGUUCAGAGGGAUCCUGACGGCUACUCCUCAAGAUCCUCUCUGUUGUGAUUCAUCCCCCCCGGGCCCUACAGUUUCUCCUUCCUGACUCUUACAUUUCUUUGGAUGGCAUCAUUAUUUACCUGUCUCCUCCCAUAGUUAGGUGCCAAGCACUGUGGAUUCUGCCCCUCAGUGUCCAGACACCCAUUUUCCUUCCCACUGUUCCUUCCCCAUGGAGAAGCCUGUGGCUGGCUGACAGCAGAGAGAGAUGCUCAACUUGGAGAAGGUGUUACCUGGGCCAGGUGGGGAAGGUUUGUUUGCAGAGCAAAGAAGUGAAGAUCCUCAUGUGACAGGUGACCUGCCGUAUAAUCAGAAGGAAGAAAUGUUACACAGAGAGGCUGAGAAGAAUCUGAGGACUUGCUAAGUUUUCCCCAGUUUAUUACCAUUAGAUCAUAUGCCUUUUUUGUUCAAUCAUACUUCUAUACAACUGUCCAUCAUUCAUUAAACCUAACCACAAAAGUAGUUUUCACUCGGCUUUUGAGUGAAGGCUCCUGUGUCACAUAAAACUUACAUUAAAUAAAUUUGUUCCACUUUU
rnacentral:antisense_RNA from 1 species